rnacentral:tRNA from 1 species
UUGGUUAGAAUACCGGCCUGUCACGCCGGGGGUCGCGGGUUCGAGCCCCGUCCGCUCCGCCA